GACGAACGCUGGCGGCGUGCUUAACACAUGCAAGUCGAACGGAAAGGCCCUGCUUUUGUGGGGUGCUCGAGUGGCGAACGGGUGAGUAACACGUGAGUAACCUGCCCUUGACUUUGGGAUAACUUCAGGAAACUGGGGCUAAUACCGGAUAGGAGCUCCUGAUGCACGGUGGGGGGUGGAAAUUUUCGGCGGUUGGGGAUGGACUCGCGGCUUAUCAGCUUGUCGGUGGGGUAGUGGCUUACCAAGGCUUUGACGGGUAGCCGGCCUGAGAGGGUGACCGGCCACAUUGGGACUGAGAUACGGCCCAGACUCCUACGGGAGGCAGCAGUGGGGAAUAUUGCACAAUGGGCGGAAGCCUGAUGCAGCAACGCCGCGUGCGGGAUGACGGCCUUCGGGUUGUAAACCGCUUUCGCCUGUGACGAAGCGUGAGUGACGGUAAUGGGUAAAGAAGCACCGGCUAACUACGUG
rnacentral:rRNA from 1 species